rnacentral:sRNA from 1 species
GCGGGGUGAGGGAUGGUGCACACCUGUAAUUCCUGCUACUAGGAAGGCUGAGGCAGGAGAAAUGCAAGUUCAAGGCCAGCCUCAGCAACUUAGUGAGACCCUGCCUCAA